CAUGACUGGGGCAGUCCUUGCAGUGAUAGUCUGUGUGUUCCUGGUGGCAGCUGUCAUUCUCUUCACACAGAGGAGAGCCAUACGCUUCCUGGAUUAGAAACCCACUGUUGGGAACGGACCUACAGGCACAGAACAGGAGCAGGAGAACCAGCAGGUCUACUCCACAGCACAGCUCCCUGGGCCUCUGUCCACACCAGAGUCCUGUGGGGUCUACUCUCUGGCAGCCAGCCCCCUGAGCUGAGUACGCACUUGCUUAGAGAUCGCGGCCAGUUCACAAAAUGACCACAAGAGGAAGAUCCGCAAUAGACCGGGCUGCGGUGACAGGGUCCAGACUGAAGUACUGAAGCACAGUUGCCCGGUCAGCAGCCUAAAACACCAGCCAUUACCAGCUGAUACCAUCUGGUGGAGAUUGUAAAUGCAAGAAACUUAAAUUGGACAUCAGCGAGACUCCCCGCCCCGUCUGACCUGAAGUUCUGUGCUUUAAUAUACGGAUGGCAUGUGAAUGUGUAAGCUGCGGUGUGCAGAGUGUUAGGAAUUGAGAUUUCAAUUUCUUGGAAGAAAGCUUGUAACUAUAGAAAUCUCAAACACCUGUAACCAAGUAACACUGGAAAUCAUAGCGAUUCUUUAGCAAACCACAGUCACAGCGGUAAUAAGGGCAGGAAAACCGUCUUGUAUAUUUAACCCCACAUCAGUGGUUUUCAAAGCUUCCACAUAUACUGGUGCUGAUAAAACAGCAAUCUUCAGAAUGAAAGAAAAGGGAGUUAUGUCAAAACCCUUCGAUCUUUUUUACAUUAAAGGUUAAUGACUUUU